AUUGGGGUGGGGUUCAUCCCACCCAGACCACAGAGACUGAAAAUAAGAAAGGGGUGAGGCCUAAGGGACAAUCAGGAUGUUUUUCAGAGAGAAGUGUGGAUGCUGGACAGGAAGAACCACAGAUACCAGAUACGGAAAAGGAAGAAUCAACACUUUCAGAGAUGGAGCCUGUUGAGCCACAGUACCAACUAGUCAAUGCUGAAUCGACUUCUCCCUUUCUACAUUGCCUGAGAGAAGUCAUUGGGGAAUACUCUGUACACGAAUUUUCACUGUUGGGGAAAACAGAGAGUCAAGGGAUUGGAUUGUGGAUUGCAUUGGUGGUUUUCCUCAGUUUCCUCAUCUUCUCCACAAGUUUCUACAUAUCGAAUGCAGAGCAGCCCUUCUUCAAAGGACCUCCUACGGAAGCUGCUAAGGAACUCAGUCUGUAGCUCUGCGUGGAGCCAUGUGUAAACACUGAACUGAGACCUGCCACCUCCUACUACCUAAGGGCCCAUUUUCAUCUGAUAUCAUCCCCCAGAAACAAACUCAUGAUGACUUCCAUGUUUUUUUUAGAUUAGAUACAUGGAGAAUUUUCCUUUCCCUUAGAAUUAAAAUCCUGCAUUCUAAUUUUCAAGUGAUGUUCCCAGGAGAAAUGAUAAUGCAGCAAUGGACAAGAACAGGAACAAGAGACAGUCUUACCAUCUUCUUACAAUUUAUAGAUGGGACAGUGGAAAGAGAAGCCACAUCGGGGUUGGGCAUGCAGAGACCUGGUCCUAAAUCUGUGUGACUUUUGCGAAAUCCUUUUGCCUCACAGAGCUCUAGGUUCUUAUCUGUCAAACAGGAACCAGACCAUCAGAUCCGUAGAGAUCCAACCAAUGAAGGAGACUUCGAAAACUUCACAUUGCCGUGUCAAUGUGAGGUUGCUGGAUGGUUAUGACAAGAAAUCACAUUAAAUUCACUGGGGUAACAUUGUUCAUGAAACGGGAUAAUGUGUUUCAGCGAUGAACCACCCAUGGCCUUACUACAGACAUAUUUCCACUUUGAAAAUGUGUGUGAGUGUACAUGUCUGUGUGUGAGGCAGAGAUUAGAAAGUGUAAAUGUGUGCGUUUUCAUUUUACACAUCUUACAUUUUCCUUUAAUUUGUUUGAAAGCCUGUUUUGUUUGUGGCUUCCAUUCCUGGAAGUCCCAUGAGUUGUUAGUGGUGAAGAUGGAACAGAUGUGUCCAACCCGGGGGACUCCUGCCCUCAGGGACUGAGCAGCUGCAAACCUCUCUCUCAUCUGAUUCCACUGUUUCUUCCACAUGUACACAUCAUGAGAAAUAUUGUUCAAUCAAUAUCUUCCCUUAAAUCAACUCAUAUGCUUAUUUACAUGAAUUUACCUAAAACAGAAACUUGAUAUCACUUCUGUAAAUGAAAAAAUUAAACUUUCUGGCUUUAAAUAAAGCAUAACAAUAAUAAUCAUGUCAAAA
rnacentral:lncRNA from 1 species